rnacentral:rRNA from 1 species
CAGGUCUUGACAUCCCACUGACCGGCUUAGAGAUAGGCUUUUCCCUUCGGGGACAGUGGUGACAGGUGGUGCAUGGUUGUCGUCAGCUCGUGUCGUGAGAUGUUGGGUUAAGUCCCGCAACGAGCGCAACCCUUGAUCUUAGUUGCCAGCAUUCAGUUGGGCACUCUAAGGUGACUGCCGGUGAUAAACCGGAGGAAGGUGGGGAUGACGUCAAAUCAUCAUGCCCCUUAUGACCUGGGCUACACACGUGCUACAAUGGACGAUACAAAGGGCUGCAAACCCGCGAGGGGGAGCCAAUCCCAUAAAAUCGUUCUCAGUUCGGAUUGUAGGCUGCAACUCGCCUACAUGAAGCCGGAAUCGCUAGUAAUCGUGGAUCAGCAUGCCACGGUGAAUACGUUCCC